UACGUAGGUGGCAAGCGUUGUCCGGAUUUACUGGGCGUAAAGAGCGCGCAGGCGGUCGUGCAAGUCGUGUGUGAAAGCCCCCGGCUCAACUGGGGAGGGUCACGCGAUACUGCUCGACUCGAAGGCAGGAGAGGGUAGUGGAAUUCCCGGUGUAGUGGUGAAAUGCGUAGAUAUCGGGAGGAACACCAGUGGCGAAGGCGACUACCUGGCCUGUUCUUGACGCUGAGGCGCGAAAGCUAGGGGAGCAAACGGG
rnacentral:rRNA from 1 species